GUCCUACUAAACUAGACAAGGCCCUCACUCAGCUAUUCCCAUCCAGCCAUGGUGCUCAGGGUAGACCGCAGCCCGCACGGUGGACAGAGGGACAGAGGAUGAACGGAGAAGCGCAGGGCUGGCUGCUGGAGACCUGGCAGAUGCUUCCUAUCCCUGCUGGCUGGUGACAUCACCGCUGUGAUGUCACACUCUGGCUUCCUGGGCUUUGGGAGUGCUGGUUCUGGUGAUAACCACUUCCUGGUCCUGGCCAGGGUGACUCAGGACUUCCUUCUGCUCCCGGGGUCAUCACUGAGCCUGGCUCUCCUGUAUCCUCAUCUAGGGAGAUCUUCUUCCUGCAGAGUGUGGCCUCCACCGUCUGCCCAGCUCGGCUCCCCAUUCUCUCGUGAAGGUAGGACAGGAACUGGGUUUCCUAACGAGUGACCAGGAAAACAGAAUUUUCAAGGGGCGUGUCUGUUUAAUGAGAGAUCAGCCUGAAUGGAACCCAACCCAGUGCCUUUCCAGGUACAAGCUGUUGCCAUGAAGCCUGGAGUUUUUCCGAGGUGCCAGAGGCAGCAGCGCAGUGCUCUUGGCUUCUCAUCUAAACCUGUUCCUUUCUCAGAACAGAGCCUGCAUGUGUGAUUCCUUCAUGGUCCCAGAGCGGGUCAUCUUGCUUACAAGGUAGCCUUGGGGCACCACUGCUUGUCAGGGUUGAGCAGGAAGGCAGACCAGGAUCCUCUGAGUCUUCCUCCUACUUCCAGCUGGUUGACUGACAUUCCACCCGACCAGAAGGAACCAGAGGAGGAAGAAGGCCUGAGAAACUGGAGGGAGGCUGCUCAGGCGGUUCUAUAGAAUGUUCUAGAAUACCUAGAAAAAAAUGAAACACCCAACAGACUGAAGCAAGGAAAUUACUGUCGGUAGUGAGCUCUUGGCCAGCAUGGUCUACAAGGGUGUAACUCUGUAUAGAAAAACCAACCAACCAACCACCAAGGCAGGAAAACUGGCUUGGCAGUUAAGGGCAAGUCCUGCUCUUGGAGAGGACCCAAGUUUAGUGCCCAGCACCUACACCGGGUGGUUCACUACCACCCGCAUCUCUGGAGAACACAAAAACUACUUUUUCCUGUGUGGUUUUGUUGUUUGUUUACUUGUUCGAGACAGGGUCUCCGUGUAGCCCACCUGUCCUGGAAUCCACUCUGUAGACCAAGCUGGCCUAGAACUCAGAUUUGCCAGCCUCCUGAGUGCUGGCAUGCGCCAGCACCGCCCAGCUUCGACAAUUUCUUUUGACCUCCAUAAAUACUUAAGUCAUGUGUGCACACACAAGAACACAUGUGCUCUUGAACAUACACACUCACACGCACCAAUAAAAGUCUUAAC